AGUUCACCAAGAGGCUUCUAGAGUCAAGUGCUUUAGUCCAGUCCAGGUGGAGAACAUUGUACUUUGAGGCUAUACUGCAGAAGAGAUCUCAGAUUUCUCAUGUGGGAGAGGAGCGAAGCUGUGCCUGGUUAUCCAUAUGAUCCCUGCCAUCACUGAUCUCCAGGAAUUCUGUACCUCAUAUGCUGAAACCAGCUUUAUGGAAUAAGAAUGUCCUGAGCAGUGGUCAUGGCACCAACCCCCCUUGGAUAGUUGAUUUUACUUGAACACAGCUAAGCUUAAUUUCCUGGCUCCAUUAAUAUUUACCCCUGUGCUGGCCAGAGAACAUCAGGGUGGAGAAGUUUCAGUAUAAACAAGUGAGCAAAGCAUUCCCAAAGCUAGACAAGAGGACGUUGACUGAUACCACGCAAUGUCUUAUUCCCACCAACCGUGAAUGGAUGUCCAAGGUCAGGAUGGAUAGGAAUGUAAGUUUAACUUACGUCCCAAAUUCUUUUA